rnacentral:tmRNA from 1 species
GGGGAUGCAAUGGUUUCGACGGGAAGUCGGGGUCAUGCAAACGCGUUCCGUGCCUGACGCAAGCACGUUAAUCCUGUGUCAAUUGGUAUAACUGCCAACUACGAUUACGCACUGGCGGCUUAAUUGACCGUCACGUCCCCCCGGAGGCUCGCCCGCCGGCUGAGGGGUAGGACGUCGCAACAGGUGGGCUAGGCACUCCAAGCGUUCGAGGCGGAGGCCGAAACACUUCUUCGAACUAGCAUUCAGACACAUCCUGUCCGUCGGGUAGUCAGAAUGCGAAACUUAAAAGACGGACUAUGAGCGUAGCAAGUUGCAGGUUCUGCUUUUCGGACGGGGGUUCGAUUCCCCCCAUCUCCACCA